rnacentral:lncRNA from 1 species
AUGUAUAAAAUAUUAUAUUUUUUUAAUAACUGGAAAAGUAUUGUGAUAUCUAUAAGUUAUUUUUCCUGUGUUGCCUUAGAUAAUGUUUGUUGUGUUGUUGUAAACUCAUGUCUGUUAUGGUCUUGUAUGGUGAAAGGAAAGUUGCAGGAAAUUAUCAAAAAAGAAAAAAAAAUAGUUUAUCAUGUUAAUGAUAUUUUAAUUUCUACAGUUUUAAUUAUUUUUGAGCUUUGUAGAGGGACAGCUGCAUAGAGAAACAUACAAACAAUGAAGUCUGUUUAUUUCAGCUGAAAUAUAUUCUGUGUGUUGUGAUGCUUAAUUGUUUCUUUUCAUGUGUUUGAACAGCUUUUAUAACAUUUUUAUACUUGGUGUAAUGAGACAAGAUCAUAAGAUCAAAACAUGCAUUCAAUUCAUAAUAAUCUAGUAUUUAUAUUCAGUCAGAAUGUAACAUACUAAAUUAUUGGUUAUAAUGUUUUGGUCAAUGAAAUGUAAUUUUGCAAAUGCAUGAACAAAUAAACUUAUUUUAUAAUAUUAUAAUUGUGUCUUGUUGCAUUAAAUUGCAUUUAACUUCUACCCUCAAAUGAAGGGAGGGAUCAGAGACAAAGUGCUUUCCCAUUUCUAUUCGAUCUUUUCUAGCUGAAUCAUUAACCUGCAUCAUCAAAGAUAGAUUAAACAGACAUAAGAACAUGUGAAAUAAACAUACACCCACAGUCGCUGAACAAGAGAAUUAAACAGCUCAUUUCCGAUCAACAGGUUCAACAGCGUUACAUGACUGAAACUGACAGCAGCUGAGCUCUCCAUGCAGAUGGAUUUAAUGAUGAACAGUCACAUUUACUGACAGUAGAAGGUCAUGACGUUCUCCUGGUUUCCUCGUAUGAGCAGGACGGGACAGUGGAUGCUGUAGCUCAGAGCGUCCAGCCAGGACAUAUAGAGAGAACUAGGACAGGUGACAUCAGGGACUGGAAGAGAACUGAAGCACAUAGACACACGUUAUAAUGAAGAGACUCGUUAAACUAAUCGAAAUGUUGCCUUUCCAACUAGUUUGUUUGUUUGUUUGUUUUUUUCAUUUAAUGUUUGUUUUAUUUUUUAUUUCAAGUAAUGUUUUGUUGUAGUUUAUAAUGGUUUUAGUUAAUGGCAAUAACUCUGAUCUGUACUCACAUUACAACCAGAGCAGCGUGAAUUGAGUUCUUCUUGAUGAUCUCGUUUAGUCUCACUGUCCUCUCCACCUGAAAACAAAAGACAGUUUAAUAGAGGGACUGAUUGGCUGCAUCCGGAAACUGAAAAAUGCUGCCUUCGGAGGACACAUUCCAAGGUAGGAAGGGAUCAAGGCACGUCUGAAUUCAAUUUUAGUUUCAGUUCCUGUUUCCUGAGAUGCCUUCAUCAGGACAAUUUUUGAAUGCAGCAUAGAUGUAUCCUUCGCUGCCUUUGAUAUCCCACAAUCCUGUGCGUUCCAUUCUGUGACUGUUAAUCCAAUAAAUAAAGAUGGCGUCUGAAAGUUGCGGUCGGUUGUCAGUUUAUGAGUAAAUGUAUGUUUUUGAUCAACAUUUUCCACUUUUUAUGUCAUUUCUAGCGAGAAAUUAAUAUUGCAGUAAUGAAAUAUCCACUUAGUUAUCACCAAAGCUCUCUAUAUUUUGCUGUAGAUCAUUAAACCGUUACUCUGCCUCAGAAGCCUGUCCAAAAUCAGUUUCAUGAGGUGCCUUCAUGCAAAAACGCUGUCUGCAAAGUCAUUGCCUGAUACGGCAGCGAGGCAGCAAGUCACCUGCCUAAGUUUUCGGAUGCAGCCGUAUUCUUUGCUAUCUUUGAUAUCCCACAAUCCUGUGCGUUCCAUU